rnacentral:ncRNA from 2 species
GUUCUGUUUCAGGGCGGAGUGAAAGUCUCCACCGGCAGUGAAUCAGUUUCUGUACUGUAAGUCUGCGAGCCUUAUGGCAUGAUGGGUGAGAAUCCCAACCGACGGUUAAAGUCCGGAUGAAAGAAACAGGUG